rnacentral:rRNA from 1 species
AUUGAACGCUGGCGGCAUGCUUUACACAUGCAAGUCGAACGGUAACGGGGACUUCGGUCUGCCGACGAGUGGCGAACGGGUGAGUAAUAUAUCGGAACGUGCCCAGUAAUGGGGGAUAGCUCGGCGAAAGCCGGAUUAAUACCGCAUACGCCCUGAGGGGGAAAUGGGGGAUCUUCGGACCUCACGUUAUUGGAGCGGCCGAUAUCAGAUUAGCUAGUUGGUGGGGUAAAGGCCUACCAAGCGACGAUCUGUAGCUGGUCUGAGAGGAUGAUCAGCCACACUGGGACUGAGACACGGCCCAGACUCCUACGGGAGGCAGCAGUGGGGAAUUUUGGACAAUGGCGAAAGCCUGAUCCAGCCAUGCGCGUGAGUGAAGAA